CCUACGGGAGGCAGCAGUAGGGAAUAUUGCUCAAUGGGGGAAACCCUGAAGCAGCAACGCCGCGUGGAGGAUGAAGGUUUUCGGAUUGUAAACUCCUUUUGUUAGAGAAGAUAAUGACGGUAUCUAACGAAUAAGCACCGGCUAACUCCGUGCCAGCAGCCGCGGUAAUACGGAGGGUGCAAGCGUUACUCGGAAUCACUGGGCGUAAAGAGCGCGUAGGCGGGAUAGCAAGUCAGAUGUGAAAUCCUAUGGCUUAACCAUAGAACUGCAUUUGAUACUGGUAUUCUAGAGUAUGGGAGAGGUAGGUGGAAUUCUUGGUGUAGCGGUAAAAUGCGUAGAGAUCACGAAGAAUACUCAUUGCGAAGGCGGCCUACUAGAACAUAACUGACGCUGAUGCGCGAAAGCGUGGGGAGCAAACAGGAUUAGAUACCCCGGUAGUC
rnacentral:rRNA from 1 species